rnacentral:rRNA from 1 species
GUCCGCGCCGUAAACGAUGGAUACUAGGUGUUCGGAGCAUUAACCCUCUGAGUACCAAAGCACACGCAUUAAGUAUCCCGCCUGGGGAGUACGGUCGCAAGGCUAAAACUCAAAGGAAUUGACGGGGCCCGCACAAGCGGUGGAGUAUGUGGUUUAAUUCGAAGCAACGCGCAGAACCUUACCUGGCCUUGACAUCCCACGAAGCAUGCAGAGAUGUGUGUGUCACUUCGGUGACGUGGAGACAGGUGCUGCAUGGCUGUCGU